rnacentral:rRNA from 1 species
UGCAAGUCGAGCGCACCCUUCGGGGCGAGCGGCGGACGGGUUAGUAACGCGUGGGAACGUACCCUUGUCUACGGAAUAGCCUUUGGAAACGAAGAGUAAUACCGUAUACGCCCUUCGGGGAAAGAUUUAUCGGACAAGGAUCGGCCCGCGUUAGAUUAGAUAGUUGGUGGGGUAAUGGCCUACCAAGUCUACGAUCUAUAGCUGGUUUUAGAGGAUGAUCAGCAACACUGGAACUGAGACACGGCCCAG